rnacentral:lncRNA from 1 species
AAGAGAUCGAGCGGUGAACCCUCGUGAAACCUUAGCAUGUCAAUCUACACAUGUACAAACGUAAACACCAGAGGACAGUCGGGAAUGCUCGGGGAAAUCUGGCCAGUCAUAAGUGAGGAACUGAAUCUCAGAGCAGACGUAUGUUAAAAAUAAGAAGAAAGAUGACGAUCAGCAACACAAUGAAGCACUUCACUACGAAGAAGAUGCAAGAGAUACAGACUGACAAAAAUAAACAGACUAAAGCAGAGCAGGAUAAAGGAGGAGAAGAGGCUGUUUGGAAAGAUUUUAAUGCUCAAGAUUUUACAUCCCAAUUUCGAAGUCGAUAUGGAAGCUUGGACAUCGCCUGCUUCAUUACCAGCAUGAGUGGACUAAAACAACCUGGAAAGAAAGGACUUCUAUGGGAAAUCAUGCACAGCAAAGCUAAUCCAUGUUAAAAGACAUUUGCACUGAAAUCCCUUCCCAUCUUUUAGCAUGAUUUACAGUGCGCUGAACAUUCUGACCUGACAUAUGUGAUGAAGUUAUUACUGAACACUGUACACUGGAGUUUUCUAAACGUUCUGCUCCUGCUUUGUAGAAGUCUUCAACACUGAUCUACAGUAUGUUAAAUUCCAAUGACUACUUUUAGCUUCAACAUCUCCUUUGGAUGUAUGUUUUUUCUGAAACUUUAAAACUUUCAAAUCUAAUGGAAGUCAAUGUAAAAACAUUGUAUUCCAGGGUCUCUAAGUGGUCUAACGGGCUAAGCGCUGCCACUAUGAUCAGGAGAUCGCUGGUUCGAAUCCUGUUCAUGUAGCUUGCCAUCAGCUGCUGGAGCCCUGAGCCCUGUAUCAGAGGCGGCAUGUGCUAAUCUUCACUAUCCUGGUGUUGGGGCACUACUAGUGAUAGGGGGAGUCCUAAUGUGUGGGCUGAAGGAUUGUCUGUGUAAAAUGUGAAAAAAGGCAGCCAAGUAUGCCUGCUUAUAACUUUACUGAGCAAAACUUAAUGCUGGACACAAGUAAUGAAUGCCAGUCAACUUUCA